rnacentral:rRNA from 1 species
AGCGAACGCUGGCGGCAGGCUUAACACAUGCAAGUCGAACGGGCGUAGCAAUACGUCAGUGGCAGACGGGUGAGUAACGCGUGGGAACGUACCUUUUGGUUCGGAACAACCCAGGGAAACUUGGGCUAAUACCGGAUAAGCCCUUACGGGGAAAGAUUUAUCGCCGAAAGAUCGGCCCGCGUCUGAUUAGCUAGUUGGUGUGGUAACGGCGCACCAAGGCGACGAUCAGUAGCUGGUCUGAGAGGAUGAUCAGCCACAUUGGGACUGAGACACGGCCCAAACUCCUACGGGAGGCAGCAGUGGGGAAUAUUGGACAAUGGGCGCAGACCUGAUCCAGCCACGCUGCGUGAGUGAUGAAGGCCCUA